CCCUUAGAUGUUCUGGGCCGCACGCGUGCUACACUGAGUGGAUCAGCGGGUCAGGUUGCGCGAAAGUGUUUCCUAAUCUUGAAAUCCGCUCGUGAUGGGGAUUGACGGUUGCAAUUUUCCGUCAUGAACGAGGAAUACCUUGUAAGCGCGGGUCAUCAUCCCGCGCUGAAUACGUCCCUGCCCUUUGUACACACCGCCCGUCGCUCCUACCGAUUAAGUGGUCCGGUGAGGCUUUGGGAUCUGAGCGGAAAGAGCGUUUCGCUGUUUCUGCUCGGAAAACUCAGUCGAACCUUAUCAUUUAGAGGAAGGAGAAGUCGUAACA
rnacentral:rRNA from 1 species